rfam:Salmo salar isolate Sally breed double haploid chromosome ssa21, whole genome shotgun sequence.
UGCAUUCACUACUGUAAGUCGCUCUGGUUAAGAGUAUCUGCUAAAUGAUGUAAA